rnacentral:rRNA from 1 species
UACAGAGGGGGCAAGCGUUGUUCGGAAUUACUGGGCGUAAAGGGCGCGUAGGCGGCCCUCUAAGUCAGACGUGAAAUCCCUCGGCUCAACCGAGGAACUGCGUCCGAUACUGGUGGGCUUGAAUCCGGGAGAGGGAUGUGGAAUUCCAGGUGUAGCGGUGAAAUGCGUAGAUAUCUGGAGGAACACCGGUGGCGAAGGCGGCAUCCUGGACCGGUAUUGACGCUGAGGCGCGAAAGCUAGGGGAGCAAACGGG